UGGGGAAUAUUGCGCAAUGGGGGAAACCCUGACGCAGCAACGCCGCGUGAAGGAUGAAGGUUUUCGGAUUGUAAACUUCUUUGAUGAGGGACGAUAAUGACGGUACCUCAAAAACAAGCCACGGCUAACUACGUGCCAGCAGCCGCGGUAAUACGUAGGUGGCAAGCGUUGUCCGGAAUUACUGGGUGUAAAGGGCGUGUAGGCGGGAAAGCAAGUCAGAUGUGAAAUACCGGGGCUUAACUCCGGGGCUGCAUCUGAAACUGUUUUUCUUGAGUGUCGGAGAGGAAAGCGGAAUUCCUAGUGUAGCGGUGAAAUGCGUAGAUAUUAGGAGGAACACCAGUGGCGAAGGCGGGUAACUGGACUGCAACUGACGCUGAGGCGCGAAAGUGUGGGGAGCAAACAGG
rnacentral:rRNA from 2 species